UACGUAGGGUGCGAGCGUUGCCCGGAUUUAUUGGGCGUAAAGAGCUCGUAGGCGGUUUGUCGCGUCUGCUGUGAAAACCCGAGGCUCAACCUCGGGCCUGCAGUGGGUACGGGCAGACUAGAGUGCGGUAGGGGAGAUUGGAAUUCCUGGUGUAGCGGUGGAAUGCGCAGAUAUCGGGAAGAACACCCGUGGCGAAGGCGGCUCUCUGGGACGGUACUGACGCUGAGACGCGAAAGCGUGGGGGAGCAAACAGG
rnacentral:rRNA from 1 species